CUGGUCAGUGAUGAUGACACUCCACCAUUAGUUCGAGUCUCAAGACCAUGAGACCACAACUCUUCAUGCACUACCAUCUGAGACCAG
ensembl:snoRNA SNORD33 Small nucleolar RNA Z195/SNORD33/SNORD32 family